UACGUAGGGGGCAAGCGUUGUCCGGAUUUAUUGGGCGUAAAGAGCGUGUAGGCGGCCAUACAGGUCAGCUGUGAAAACUCGAGGCUCAACCUCGAGACGUCGGUUGAAACCGUAUGGCUAGAGUCCGGAAGAGGAGAGUGGAAUUCCCGGUGUAGCGGUGAAAUGCGCAGAUAUCAGGAGGAACACCAAUUGCGAAGGCAGCUCGCUGGAACGUUACUGACGCUGAGACGCGAAAGCGUGGGGGAGCAAACAGG
rnacentral:rRNA from 1 species